AUGCAUCUCUGAAAGCCCUGGAGCAGUUAAUGUCUGCUGCUAAGGUUUCCACUAUAGUCGCAAGAAAAAAGAAGCCCUCGCGCUUUCUGUCUGUCUGGUUGUGGCAGCCAAGAUUGAAUGGGGGAAUACAGGA
rnacentral:snoRNA from 1 species